CUACUCUCAAGCACUGCUUGGCAUUGGAUGUCACUUUUGUAGUGCAUCUCAAAAGUAUUGGCAGUAGCAUCUAGCUUCUAGUGUAGUAAAUCUCUUGCUAUGGAGCUGGGUGUCUGACUACUAGAACCCCUAAUAUAUAAAA
rnacentral:misc_RNA from 1 species